rnacentral:ncRNA from 1 species
GUAAAGAGCAAGUGGCACGUUCCAGUGACUACCUCGAUGGGCAAUUGACCUUUCGCGAGCGUCUGCUGGUGCGUCAUCACUUGAUGUUCUGCCCGAACUGCCGUCGGUUUAUCCGCCAGAUGCGCCUGCUGCAGGCGACGCUGAAGAUCAUGCCGGAUGAGCCGGUAGAGGGUGUGGAUGCCCUGGCGCAGCGGCUGGCUGCCGAGCGGCUCAAGGAUCACAAAGGCGGGGAAUAAGCAGGCUCGCGUGGUUGAAUCGGACGGAUGAUGGGGACCGAUCCACCCACG